UGAAACUUUUUUUGGCCUGAGGAUGAACUCGCGUCUGAUUAGCUAGUUGGUGAGGUAAGGGCUCACCAAGGCGACGAUCAGUAGCUGUUCUGAGAGGAAGAUCAGCCACACUGGGACUGAGACACGGCCCAGACUCCUACGGGAGGCAGCAGUGGGGAAUUUUCCGCAAUGGGGGCAACCCUGACGGAGCAACGCCGCGUGAGGGAAGAAUGGUUGUGGCCAGUAAACCUCUUUUAAUAGGGAAGAAUUCUGACGGUACCUAUUGAAUAAGCAUCGGCUAACUCCGUGCCAGCAGCCGCGGUAAUACGGAGGAUGCAAGCGUUACCCGGAAUUAUUGGGCGUAAAGCGUCCGCAGGUGGUUAGUCAAGUCAGCUGUAAAAGACUCAGGCUUAACUUGGGAUGUGCAGUUGAAACUGAUUGACUAGAGUACGGUAGGAGUAGAGGGAAUUCCUAGUGUAGCGGUGAAAUGCGUAGAUAUUAGGAAGAACACCAGUGGCGAAGGCGCUCUACUGGGCCUGUACUGACACUGAGGGACGAAAGCUAGGGGAGCGAAUGGGAUUA
rnacentral:rRNA from 1 species